GAUGAACGCUAGCGGCAGGCCUAAUACAUGCAAGUCGAGGGGCAGCGGGUCCAGCAAUGGAUGCCGGCGACCGGCGCACGGGUGCGUAACACGUAUACAAUCUGCCUUUAACAGGGGGAUAGCCCGGAGAAAUCCGGAUUAAUACCCCAUAAUAUAUUGAGUGGCAUCUCUUGAUAUUGAAAGCUCCGGCGGUUAAAGAUGAGUAUGCGCCUGAUUAGUUAGUUGGUGAGGUAACGGCUCACCAAGACGACGAUCAGUAGGGGAUCUGAGAGGACUACCCCCCACACGGAUACUGAGACACGGAUCCGACUCCUACGGGAGGCAGCAGUAAGGAAUAUUGGACAAUGCCCGCAAGGGUGAUCCAGCCAUGCCGCGUGCAGGAAGACGGCCCUAUGGGUUGUAAACUGCUUUUACACCGGAGAAAACCCCCGCUCGUGAGCGGGGCUGAUAGUAUGGUGAGAAUAAGCAGCGGCUAACUUCGUGCCAGC
rnacentral:rRNA from 1 species